rnacentral:rRNA from 1 species
GAUUAUGGCUCAGAACGAACGCUGGCGGCGCGUCUUAAGCAUGCAAGUCGAACGGCAAGAGGUAGCAAUACCUCCUAGAGUGGCGGACUGGUGAGUAACACGUGGGUGACAUACCCUUCAGAUGGGGAUAGCUAUUAGAAAUAGUAGAUAAUACCGAAUACGAGCACAGGGGUUAGAGAUCUGUGAGGAAAGGAGCUAAGGCUCCGCUGAAGGAAUGGCCUGCGGCCCAUUAGCUAGUUGGUGAGGUAAGAGCCCACCAAGGCGAUGAUGGGUAUCCGGCCUUAGAGGGUGAACGGACACAUUGGGACUGAGAUACGGCCCAGACUCCUACGGGAGGCAGCAGCUAAGAAUAUUCCGCAAUGGACGAAAGUCUGACGGAGCGACGCCGCGUGGAUGAAGAAGGCCGGAAGGUUGUAAAAUCCUUUUGAAACUGAAGAAUAAGCGUUGUAGGGAAUGACAGCGUGGUGACAGUAGGUUUUGAAUAAGCAACGGCUAAUUACGUGCCAGCCGCAGC